rnacentral:rRNA from 1 species
UACGUAGGGGGCAAGCGUUGUCCGGAAUCAUUGGGCGUAAAGCGCGCGUAGGCGGCCCUGUAAGUCCGUUGUGAAAGUCGAAGGCUCAACCUUCGAAAGCCGAUGGAUACUGCAGGGCUAGAGUCCGGAAGAGGCGAGUGGAAUUCCUGGUGUAGCGGUGGAAUGCGCAGAUAUCAGGAGGAACACCAAUAGCGAAGGCAGCUCGGUGGGACGGUACUGACGCUAAGGCGCGAAAGCGUGGGGAGCGAACAGG